AAUAAGCUCAGAGAAGCAAAUCCAACCCUGUGUUCUGGUGUUCCACUCACAGUCACAGUCACACUGAGCUCACUCACUGGCCUCCAUCCAACCCGACCAAACCCUAACUAAUCUCCGAAUCCCGCGCCGGCGGCGGCCCCGACAUGGCCGCGCCGGUCGCCGUGCACGCGCUCCCAGCCCUCGCGGACGAGACCCUGGAGGAGAUCUUCCUCCUUCUGCCCACCCCGGCGGCGCUCGCCCGCGCCUCCGCCGCCUGCACCACGUUCCGCCGCAUCGUCACCGAGCGCUCCUUCCUCCGCCGGUUCCGCAAGACUUUACAAAGAGAUUAAAUGUUUAAGUGGGGGCAGCUGCCCCCCCUUGCCAAUAGGCUAGAUCCGCCCAUGCAUGUCGCUCAACAAAGCAACAGUGAAUCUUCUAUUGAGUGGCGGCUGGAAAUUGUUAAGACGUUGCCUCGUGGAUAUCUCUAUUUUUAUUGUGGUGCAACUGACGGAAUGUUGUUUCUCCAAGGAAUACCUUUGGAUGAUAAUUCACAGAGCAUGUGCGGGAAUCUGUUUGCGCAGGAUUUCUUUUCACUGGAGGUCAAGACUUUGGAACUUAAGAAGGUCUAUAGUGCAAAACCAUGUGCUAUUACUUCCAGACGUGUUCAUUCCUACUUUGGCUUCCCACCAUCAUUAGAGAAACCGAGUCUUUGAACCAUGAAGCGCGCGGCGUUCUCCCUGGAGAUUUUGUAGAGGAGAUUUCAGAAUUCUGACAUCAGGAGUUGGACUCUCAUGGUGUGGCUUGUUUAAAAUUGGCUUACAUAUAGUACACAUCUUUGGAGAGGUAGGUAUGAACUAGCUUUUGCUCUUGCGGUCUCGUUUGGGGGCAUGCAUAUCCAUGUGUCGCCUUUGAGGAAUAAGAUGGCAAAGCUGGUCCUGAGAAUAUUCUGCCUCGAUGACGUAGUACUCCAGCCUUGGUGUUAGUUAUCACUUAUCAGAAAUCAGUAACCAUUUACUUGGCCAUGUCCGUGUUAGGGGAUUUAAGCAAGACAUGCUGUAAGCAAACAUACUUUUUUAGCACUAAUAUGUACGAGACAUAUAUACUGAUAUGUGCUUGGAGAAUGUCCAGGACCUAGUAUAUUUGGUGGUAUGCUACUAUCCAUCAAUCGUCACAACCAUCUGAAUCAUCCAAGUACAUGAUUCACUUCACUCGCUUGAUCUAUGCUUGCUAUUGUAGCGAGCUGCUCUGUAGGCACCGUAUGAUACUUUAGUUCAUUCUUCACUCCGUGCAAUUCUUCAGGAACUUUCUACAGAAAUUUGUUUAUAGCCCAUUCUCCUUGACACAUUUUUCUGGGCAGAGCAAUAUGGUUCUUGUUCCUGGGUUACUA